rnacentral:rRNA from 1 species
CAGCCGCCGCGGGAAUACGUAGGUGGCAAGCGUUGUCCGGAUUUAUUGGGCGUAAAGCGAGCGCAGGCGGUUCCUUAAGUCUGAUGUGAAAGCCCACGGCUCAACCGUGGAAGGUCAUUGGAAACUGGGGAACUUGAGUGCAGAAGAGGAGAGUGGAAUUCCAUGUGUAGCGGUGAAAUGCGUAGAUAUAUGGAGGAACACCAGUGGCGAAGGCGACUCUCUGGUCUGUAACUGACGCUGAGGCUCGAAAGCGUGGGGAGCAAACAGGAUUAGAUACCCCUGUAGUCCCUGUCUCUUAUAA